AGAGUUUGAUCCUGGCUCAGAUUGAACGCUGGCGGAAUGCUUUACACAUGCAAGUCGAACGGCAGCACGGGGGCAACCCUGGUGGCGAGUGGCGAACGGGUGAGUAAUACAUCGGAACGUGCCCAGUCGUGGGGGAUAACGCAGCGAAAGCUGUGCUAAUACCGCAUACGAUCUACGGAUGAAAGCGGGGGAUCGCAAGACCUCGCGCGAUUGGAGCGGCCGAUGGCAGAUUAGGUAGUUGGUGGGGUAAAGGCUCACCAAGCCUGCGAUCUGUAGCUGGUCUGAGAGGACGACCAGCCACACUGGGACUGAGACACGGCCCAGACUCCUACGGGAGGCAGCAGUGGGGAAUUUUGGACAAUGGGCGCAAGCCUGAUCCAGCCAUUCCGCGUGCAGGAUGAAGGCCUUCGGG
rnacentral:rRNA from 1 species